AUACGGAGGACGCGAGCGUUAUCCGGAUUCAUUGGGUUUAAAGGGUGCGCAGGCGGCCGUGCAAGUCAGCGGUGAAAGCCCGGGGCUCAACCCCGGAAGUGCCGUUGAUACUGCAUGGCUGGAAUGCGGUCGAGGCGGGCGGAACGUGGCGUGUAGCGGGGAAAUGCGUAGAUAUGGCACAGAACGCCGAUAGCGGAGGCAGCGCGCCAGGCCUGCAUUGACGCUCGGGCACGAAAGCGUGGGGAUCGAACAGGAUUAGAUACCCUGGUAGUCCACGCCGUAAACGAUGGGCGCUCGUCGUCGGCGGCAGACAGUCGGCGGCCAAGCGAAAGCGAUAAGCGCCCCACCUGGGGAGUACGGUCGCAAGGCUGAAACUCAAAGGAAUUGGCGGGG
rnacentral:rRNA from 1 species